rnacentral:rRNA from 1 species
GCCCUAAAUCUAGCCCACAUAACCCGCAUGACACCAUAAAACUCCUGUAAAAGACAAAACAUUUUAAUAUUAUAGUAUAGGCGAUAGAAAAAUUAAUAAGCGCUUUAGAUUAAGUACCGUAAGGGAAAGAUGAAAUAGAAAUGAAAUAAUAUUAUAGCCUCAAACAGCAGAGAUAUCCCCUCGUACCUUUCGCAUCAUGGUCUAGCUAGUCCUCUCGAGCAAGAUGAAAAUCUUAGUUCGACCCCCCGAAACUAAGCGAGCUACUUCAAAACAGCCCUAAGAGCUAACCCCUCUCUGUUGCAAAAGAGUGGGAAGAUUUUCAAGUAGAGGUGAUAAGCCUACCGAGCUUAGAGAUAGCUGGUUGUUCGAGAAAAGAGUAUUAGCUCUGCCUUAAGUUUCCUUAUUAUACUAAACAAAUUAAUAAACUUAAGAGUUAUUCAAAUUAGGCACAGCUUAUUUGAAAUAGGAUACAACCUCAACCAUUGGGUAAACUGGGUAAUAAAAAUAAAGUUGGCCUAAAAGCAGCCACCUUCAAAAAAACGUCAAAGCUUAACUACCAUAACCCCUAAUUACCAAAAUUAUACCAAACCCCUCAUCCCUACCGAACCAUUUUAUACUAUUAUAAAAAUGAUUAUGCUAGAACUAGUAACAAGAACUAGCCGUUCUCCACAAUGCAAGCUUAAACCAAAAUGGACACCCCAUUGGUAAUUAACGUAAAUGUAAAACCAUAGCAACAUCCACCAGAAAACCCUAUGACCUACCCCACGUUACCCUAACACCAGAGCAUUACAGGAAAGAUUAAAAGAAAGAGAAGGAACUCGGCAAACCUUGGCCCCGCCUGUUUACCAAAAACAUCGCCUCUUGAUUAUAUAUAAGAGGUCCAGCCUGCCCAGUGAAAUUUUUAACGGCCGCGGUAUACUGACCGUGCGAAGGUAGCAUAAUCACUUGUUCUUUAAAUAGGGACUCGUAUCAACGGCACCACGAGGGCUAUACUGUCUCCACUCUCCAAUCAGUGAAACUGAUCUCCCCGUGAAGAAGCGGGGAUCUAAUUAUAAGACGAGAAGACCCCAUGGAGCUUUAAAUUCAACAUGCACCUAUUUAAUUAAUCACCAACUUAGCUUCAAAAAGCUGCAUGUUAAUUUUAGGCUGGGAGGGCCGCGGAGUAAAAUUAAACCUCCACAACAAAUGGGUUAAUACCCUUAUCUUCGAUUGACAAAUCUAAGAAUCACCAAAAUGAUGUUAAAUGAUCCGAUAACUCGAUUAAUGGACCAAGUUACCCUGGGGAUAACAGCGCAAUCCUCUUCAAGAGCCCAUAUCGACAAGCGGGUUUACGACCUCGAUGUUGGAUCAGGGUAUCCUAGUGGUGCAACCGCUACUAAUGGUUCGUUUGUUCAACGAUUAAAACCCUACGUGAUCUGAGUUCAGACCGGAGUAAUCCAGGUCGGUUUCUAUCUAUAAAGAACCCCCCCCAGUACGAAAGGACCGGGAGAGUAUGGCCAAUACAAAAACAAGCCAGACUACUAUAUCAAUGAAAUAAUCUUAAUUGAUCAUGACCUUGCACCCCCCCCCCCAAAACCAGGGGUU